AGAAAUAUAGGCUAAAUAAACUACUAAAACCAUGGGCCUUCAAAGCCUAAACUGUGUAACUAACACUAUUUCUG
rnacentral:tRNA from 1 species